UACAGAGGUCCCAAGCGUUGUUCGGAUUCAUUGGGCGUAAAGGGUGCGUAGGUGGCGAGGCAAGUCAGAUGUGAAAAUCCCGGGGCUCAACCCCGGAACUGCAUUUGAACUGCCUUGCUUGAGUACUGGAGAGGAGACUGGAAUUUACGGUGUAGCAGUGAAAUGCGUAGAUAUCGUAAGGAAGACCAGUGGCGAAGCGAGUCUCUGGACAGUUACUGACACUGAGGCACGAAGGCCAGGGGAGCAAACGGG
rnacentral:rRNA from 1 species